CUCGGCGGGUUCGCCCGCCGAUUGGACAAUUUAAACCAUUUGCAGUUGCAAUCAGCGUCUGAAAAAACAUAAUAGUUACAACUUUCAACAACGGAUCUCUUGGUUCUGGCAUCGAUGAAGAACGCAGCGAAAUGCGAUAAGUAGUGUGAAUUGCAGAAUUCAGUGAAUCAUCGAAUCUUUGAACGCACAUUGCGCCCCUUGGUAUUCCAUGGGGCAUGCCUGUUCGAGCGUCAUUUGUACCUUCAAGCUCUGCUUGGUGUUGGGUGUUUGUCUCGCCUCUGCGUGUAGACUCGCCUCAAAACAAUUGGCAGCCGGCGUAUUGAUUUCGGAGCGCAGUACAUCUCGCGCUUUGCACUCAGAACGACGACGUCCAAAAGUACAUUUUUACACUCUUGACCUCGGAUCAGGUAGGGAUACCCGCUGAACUUAAGCAUAUCAAAA
rnacentral:rRNA from 1 species